AAUUGAGAGCAUAAAUUCUAACAAAAUGAAAUUCAGCAGAACGGAGGGUAAAAUUGAGCAGAGAGCAAGAGAAGAAUGCCUUCUUCUGAUUUUCCAUCUACUGAUAUGCAAUUCGCAUACCUCGGCUUCCACCUUCGUCAUGAGUUAAGUAUCUGCAUGCACAUCCCUCAUUUUUCUGCUCAAUUUGCUGCUGCCGCUUAUCCA
rnacentral:misc_RNA from 1 species